UACAGAGGUCUCAAGCGUUGUUCGGAUUCAUUGGGCGUAAAGGGUGUGUAGGUGGCGCCGUAAGUCGGGUGUGAAAUUUCGGAGCUUAACUCCGAAACUGCAUUCGAUACUGCGGUGCUUGAGGACUGGAGAGGAGACUGGAAUUCAUGGUGUAGCAGUGAAAUGCGUAGAGAUCAUGAGGAAGACCAGUGGCGAAGGCGGGGUCUCUGGACAGUUCCUGACACUGAGACACGAAGGCCAGGGGAGCAAACGGG
rnacentral:rRNA from 1 species